UACGAGAAGUUCAUGAGAGGAUAUGCGGCAAUCACUUGGGGGGCAAAGCCCUCAUCCAUAAGGUGCUAUGAUAGGAAUACUUUUGGCCGACCAUGCAAAAGGAUGUUGCUGAUCUGGUAAACAAAUGUGACUAGUGCUAUAGGAUCUCAAACAUUCAGCACCGACCCUCAACCCCCUGGCUUCGAUUACUAUACCUUGGCCUUCGCACAAUGGGAGAUGGACAUCCUCGGAUCUUUCUCCAUUACGGC
rnacentral:lncRNA from 1 species